CAGCACCUCAAGUGGUCAGGAUGAUUAUUGGUCCUAAAGCAUCCGUAUCCUGCUUUGUAAGUUUUCGGUUAAAUCCAUACGCUCAACGUAUGGGCUGCCGGGAAUACUGCACAGCUAGGGAGUGGGAGAGGUAGACGGUACUCGGUAGGAAGGGGUAAAAUCCUUUGAUCUAUUGAUGACCACCUGUGGCGAAGGCGGUCUACCAGAACAAGUCCGACGGUGAGGGAUGAAAGCUGGGGGAGCAAACCGGAUUAGAGACCCGAGUAGUCC
rnacentral:rRNA from 1 species